ACCAUGAUGAGGAAGUUACAGAGAAGCUGCCACAGGGGGAUGACACACCACCAUUGUCAAAGUCAGCAACCAAAGAAGAAGGAGGUGAAAGCAACGAAGGUGAAGAAGAACCGGAUGACGACAAAGACGAAGGAGGAGAAGAAGAAGAGCGUGAUGAUGGUAAUGUAGCUGCAGACCAUUAAAGCAUAUUUUCAAAGCCUCUCGUCUUUCUCAAAGCUUCUUGACUUCGUUUGUUAUCAGAAAUUGAAUCUUCUAUUUCUGUCUGUUCCUUCCAUGCGCCACCUCGCCAUUAAAAAAAAAAUUUAACUUAUCACACAAGCUUGGAACAAAGAAAUCCUUCAAUUAUGGAUGGCUUUAGAUGGGACAUUCUCCGUCUCCGUUUUCUUUUUUUUUUCUCUUUUAAUUUAUUAAUGUCUUUGUGGUUCCAUUGCUCUCAUACUGCAAUACAAAGGCAAAGCUCCACAAACUGUGGGAAUAAAGACUUUUUUGAGGUUACGUCGAAAUCCAAGUCUACUCGGCUUCACCCAACCCAAAUGUUUUCCACUCUCUUGACCUUCUCUCUGUUUUUAGAUGGGCCGUUAAACAACGACGUGGAGAUGCUCAGUCAAAACCCAGAGGAAAAUCCAGCCGGAGAUGAGCCAAACCAAGAACAACAGGACGAAGAAAAAGAAAGCCGAGACAAAGAUGAAGAUAUGGCUGUGGACGAUGGGAAGAAGGACAGCGAGGAGAAGGGCCUCGCCACUGAAAAUACUGAAGACAAAGCUGACAAAAAAGAACCUGAAGCAAAGAUGGUGGAAGAAGAGCCAGCAAACUCUGCUAAGGAUAAAGAAGGGGUUUCCAGCACUAAUGCCGGCGACGAAGAUUCUGCUAAAAAGAAUGAAUGACCUGUAGAGAGGAAGAGUCGACCUCAUCUGACAGCCAGCAAACUGUGCAAAGGCCAUCCAGUGGCCCCCCCCCCCACCUUCUCAGUGUGGGCUCUGACCCCGCCCCGGACCACCAGCUAUUCACAAAACGCUCACGUCCCCAACUUUACUUCGCCUCUGUCCUCAUCCUCAGAAAAGAAUCCAUCUUUGACGUCUGUAAAUGUCUGUCUGUAUACGGAGGGACUCCAACAUAUCAACCCGAAAAGAUGAGCCAUACCUCACUG
rnacentral:lncRNA from 1 species